rnacentral:rRNA from 1 species
GGCGGAUUCCCGGGAUUCAUSGAGUCUUUGACGCAAGUUGCGCCCGAAGCCACCCGGCCGAGGGCACGUCUGCCUGGGUGUCACGCAUCGUUGCCCCCCCACGCCGCGCCCUCCUUUCCUCGCACGAGGAGAGAGCGGCGUUGCAUUCGGGGGUGCGGACGCUGGCCUCCCGUGCGCGGUCCCGCGCGCGGUUGGCCCAAAUGCCGCAGUCCCUCGGGCGAACCGAGCGCCACGACAAUCGGUGUGGUUGAGAGACCUCGCGGUCCCGUCGUGCGCGCCUCGUCGCCCCGAGCGGUGGAAAGACCCUGCACCUCACAACGCGACCCCAGGUCAGGGGGGAUUACCCGCUGAGUUUAAGCAUAUCAAUAAGCGGARGAAAAGAAACUUACGAGGAUUCCCCUAGUAACGGCGAGCGAACCGGAAGAGCCCAGCUUAGAAAAUCCGGCGCCCCUGGGGUCCGAAUUGGAAUCCGGGGGAAGCUCAA